UACUCCCUAAAUCUAACAAUAUCAUCAAGUUUUUCUUGCCCACUUCCCCUUGAAGUCGUAUAGUGUUUGGAACUUCCACCCCUGAUAAUGCAUGUAGGCUAAUGGCCUCAUCCACUUCCAGUUCUCCAUUGAAUUCCCCUACUUUCUAUACUUCUUCUGUUACAGGUUCCUCAACUGUCCCUUCUUGUUCUUCAGUAGCUGUUAAAGCAUUUAACUGUUUAUAUUUGCACUGAUUCCCGUAAUAAUACUUAUCCCCACACUUGUAACACAAGCCUUGUGUUCUUCUCGCCUCUAUUAACUUGUUGUUAGUAGAUAUUGUGCCAGAUUGUCCUUCCUUUUAUGCAUUAUUGAUUUGUUUACUGGGAUAUGUGAGGGAUAGAUUGUUAGGCUUGUUCCACUGGAUUUUAUUUCUCUUGCUAGCUGCUUCUAGAACUUUUUCCUGGUGUCGAGCCUUAUCUACAGCUUGACUAAAGGAAAAAAGGUUAAGCAUUUUCACGGUAUGUUUAGUAUCUUCCUUUAGUCCUUCAAUGAAGAAUCCCAGGAAAAACUCCUCUGGUAUGGUAGGAUUUCUUAUCAAUACCCAAGCCUUCAAAUCCUCAAACCUCUCCAGAUAUUCAUUGACAGUGGUCCGUUGCUCUAUCUUCUUGAACUCUCCCAGCAAAUUUAAUGCACUAUUAGCUGCAUCCGCAAAUCGUUUACAAAUUUCGUCUACAAACUCCGGCCAUCUAACAGUUCCUCGACUCAAUUGAUAAGAGAAAUACCAAGCUUCUGCUCUUCCACUAAGAUGUAACACCGCCAUUUCCAAUUUUUCUUUCGGCAUCUCGACUCGAUGGUAGUGAAAAUACCUCACACUUGUGCAACCAUGCUUGUGGAUCACCAUCUUCGAAAUAGGGAAAUUCAACUUUGUGAUUAAAAUUGUGCGUUUGGUGUUGUCUUACUCCAGGUACUUCAUGAUGUUCCAUGUUCCCAUGCCGUCCAACUGAACCACUAGCUUGAGCUACUCCAGGCGGUGCUCUCAAAAUUUCGUCUCUCGCUGGAAUUAACCUCUCCAUCAUAACAUCCAAUUUCCUACCAAGGUCAUCAAUUUUGGCAUCUGUAGCUUCCGCCGUCUGAUUUGCUGCUGAUACAUGGGCCGUGAAUUGAGAUUCCAGCUUUCUGAUGUUCUCCUCCAACGUUUUUGAUCGUGUUUCUGCCAUUGGCAUUUAUAGGGCUAGGACGUGGCUCUGAUACCAAUUUGUAAUGUCCAAAAAUACGAAUCGAUUGUAACGAAUUGGGGAAUAUUAUUGAUAGUCAACUAUUGUGAAUUUUACAAUUUCAACUGAAAGAAUACAACGAAAUUGUAACUACGCAUUCAUCUAUUCCGCCAUUGAUGGUACUUGAACCUUCAACUAAGUUCCUGUAAGAGAAAUUAGAGUGAGGAUCGGGAAAGGUAAG
rnacentral:lncRNA from 1 species